rnacentral:rRNA from 1 species
ACGCUCGACACCGUACGGGAGGCAGCAGUGGGAAUAUUGCACAAUGGGGGAAACCCUGAUGCAGCGACGCCGCGUGAGCGAAGAAGUAUUUCGGUAUGUAAAGCUCUAUCAGCAGGGAAGAAACUGACGGUACCUGACUAAGAAGCACCGGCUAAAUACGUACCAGCAGCCGCGGUAAUCUGAGCGGCUGGCAAGGC